UCGCCCAGGCUGGAGUGCAGUGGCGCAAUCUCGGCUCACUGCAAGCUCCGCCUCCAGGGUUCACGCCAUUCUCCUGCCUCAGCCUCCCGAGUAGCUGGGACUACAGGCGCCUGCCACCAUGCCCUGCUAAUUUUUUUUUUGUAUUUUUAGUAGAGACAGGGUUUCACCGUGUUAGCCAGGACGGUCUCGAUCUCCUCACCUCGUGAUCUGCCUGCCUUGGCCUCCCAAAGUGCUGGGAUUACAGGCGUGAGCCACCGUGCCCGGCUCUUUCCUCCUGCUUUUUUCCUACACUCUCUCCUCCCUCCUCUCCUCCCUCUUUCUCCUGUUUGAUUUCCACCUCUUUUCUCUCCUCUCUCCUCUGAAUCUGCCUCUUCCUCUUCUCACCUCCCUCUUCCUUCCCUGUCUCUCCCCCUUGGGUCUCUCUUCCUUCCCUCUCUCUGGUUUCUCUGUCUCUGCCCUGUCCUUUCCUUUCCCUCCUCUCUGGACCUGUCUCCUCUCCUGGCUCUCUCUCCUUCAAGCUCUCACUCCCACUGGCCUCCCUCCCGGGAGCCCCGUCUCCUCCGUCUCCAGGUGGCCCCUGCAUCCCUGCCUGGUGGGCCUUUGCCUCCCUCUCCUGUUCCUGCCUUGCCUGCUCCCAGGUUUCCAGGUCCUGACCAGGAGGCAGGAGUCCAUACCGAGGCCCAAACAGGCUAGCCCUGAGCAGGGCCCCCAAGCCUGAGGCCCAGGAGUGGACAGACCUUUGUGACACCCAUUCUCUCUUCCUUUUCCAUCUGUCCGGAACUCUGGACACUGCCUGGAGGAAUCAGGCCUGCCGUAGGCCCAGGAAGGCGGAAACAAAGACGACGCUCAGAGACAGGAAGCAACUUGCCUAAAGAUACACAGCACCACCUCAGCACUGAGGGGACCUCACCUGAAUUCCAUUUCAGAAAUGAGAAAAUUGGUGCCCAAUGUUUCUGAAGACCAGCAACUGCUAAGACAGAGACUUCGAGGGAACCCGACCUUGCCUGAAGGACCAACAGCGCCCCCUGCAGGACACUUCCCUCCAUUGAGAGAAGCCACAGGCGCCGGCCUGAGGCAUUCUGAGUGCGUGGAAUCCUCUAUUACCACCUCCUGGCAAAGAACGGAGCUGCAACCCAGCUAUAUGAGACACCGAGAAUGAUCUCAACAAAAAGGAACAGUGACCAGAAUGCCUGGGGGAGGAACAGGGGAUACUGGGUGGAAGGAGGGGAGAGGGAGAAGUUGUAAUAUUUUGUAAAAAUGAACAUUUUUACUCCUAAUCAAUAUACAAACAUCAUGCUCAGCAAACUUCUUGGUAUGAAACUUCUGAACUUCACACAUUUUCAAGUCAUUCUAUGGGUGGGUGGAUUGGCUCCCAUGGAAAUGCAACUGGGACUGCACAUGGGAAACAAAGGAAAAUGGAAUUUGGUUCACACAAACCUGUUUGGGAGAUUGCAUUUCCAGGAAAUGGGCCAAAUUGAGUUUGUUUCCUUUGUAACAACAUUGUUGUGCCUUGCUGACUGGAAGGUGGGUACAAAUAAAGGAGGAUGGACUGAC
rnacentral:lncRNA from 1 species